rnacentral:rRNA from 1 species
CGUGUAGGCGGACUCGCAAGUCGGUUGUGAAAUCCCUGGGCUCAACCUAGGAACUGCAUCCGAAACUGCGUGUCUUGAGUAAUGGAGAGGGUGGCGGAAUUCCCGGUGUAGAGGUGAAAUUCGUAGAUAUCGGGAGGAACAUCAGUGGCGAAGGCGGCCACCUGGACAUUUACUGACGCUGAGACGCGAAAGCGUGGGGAGCAAACA